rnacentral:ncRNA from 3 species
UGUCAGGUGGGGAGUUUGGCUGGGGCGG